CUUGGUCAUUUAGAGGAAGUAAAAGUCGUAACAAGGUCUCCGUUGGUGAACCAGCGGAGGGAUCAUUACAGAGCAACAGCUCCGACUACCCACUGUGAACAUACCUAAACGAGUUGCCUCGGUGGGCCCCCCCGGGGAGGGGGGUCUGGCGUGACUGCCGCCCGCCGGCGUAAUAUAGAAUCUCUAGCAGUACCCGUCUCUUCUGAGUCACAGCGCAGAGUUAAAACUUUCAACAACGGAUCUCUUGGUUCUGGCAUCGAUGAAGAACGCAGCGAAUUGCGAUAAGUAAUGUGAAUUGCAGAAUUCAGUGAACCAUCGAGUCUUUGAACGCACAUUGCGCCCGCCGGCACUCCGGCGGGCACGCCGGGUCGAGCGUCAUUUCAACCCUCAGGCCACCGCCUGGUGCUGGGGAUCUACCUACCGCCUGGUAGGUAGGCCCCGAAAGCCAUUGGCGGGGGUCGCUGCGGGGUCCCGGGUGUAGUAAGAAACACAUCGCCCAGGGGCCACAGCGAUCUCCAGCCCUCGACAGAGAAAAAAAAACUCCAGUUGACCUCGACCUGGUGGGGAUACCCGCUGAACUUAAGCAUAUCAAUAAGCGGAGGAAAAGAAACCAACAGGGAUUGCCUCAGUAACGGCGAGUGAAGCAGCAACAGCUCAGAUUUGAAAUCGGACUCAGGUCCGAGUUGUAAUCUGUAGAGGAUGCUUCGGGCGAGGGUGUCACCCGAGUUGCCUGGGACGGUACGCCGCGGAGGGUGAGAGCCCCGAACGGUAGGCCCCCGAGCCCGUGCGAAGCUCCUUCGACGAGUCGAGUAGUUUGGGAAUGCUGCUCAAAACGGGAGGUAAACCUCUCCUAAAGCUAAAUACCGGCCAGAGACCGAUAGCGAACAAGUAGAGUGAUCGAAAGAUGAAAAGCACUUUGGAAAGAGGGUUAAACAGCACGUGAAAUUGUUGAAAGGGAAGCGCUCAUAGCCAGACCCGGGCCCCGCGGAUCAUCCAGCGUUCCGCGCUGGUGCACUCCGCGGGUGUCCAGGCCAGCAUCGGUCUAGGCGGGGGGAGAAGAGCGCCGGGGACGUGGCUCCCCCCUAUGGGGGGAGUGUUAUAGCCCGGCGUGAGAUAUCCCCGCGUGGACCGAGGUCAGCGCUCCGGCGAGGAUGCUGGCGUAAUGGUUAUCGGCGACCCGUCUUGAAACACGGACC
rnacentral:rRNA from 1 species